CCGAGUACCGGGUCUUCGGGCCCCUACUCCCACCCUUGUGUACCUACCUUCUUUUCGUUGCCUCGGCGGGGUAGAUCCUGACGGCCCACCGGCCGGAGGGGGACCCGCCGGGGGGACACCCUCAAACUCUUGUCAACAGUGACGUCUGAGAACAAAACAAACUAGUCA
rnacentral:misc_RNA from 1 species